AUCAUUUUUAAGAGAAAGAAAAAAGUCUUCGUAUUGUUACUGAGAAAUCUAACAUCUCCAUCACUUUGCUCCGUCUUGUCCUCGUUGGCCGUUGCUCACCGUCCGCCGCUUGUCGUCCAGAACUACCGUAUGCAGCUUAGUCAUGAUUAAGCCAAGAAUCUAUGUUGUAAGAAGAAUGCAUGGAAGUCAAUUUGUUCUCCUUAAAUAGGAUUCCCACAAUGCAUUGUUCUUAAAGAAGGUUAUAAUCAAAGAUGAUCCUCGAGAUGAUGAAAGUGGUGAAGAUUUGAAAUUACUGAAGACAACUAUACUAUGUUAAUUUAAAAAUUUAUAGUACUUGAAUUGAUUUUUAACAUGUGUUUUUAUAUAAAAGAGAUUCUAUUAUAUUUCAUAUUAUUAACUAAUGUUUUCUAUACAUAAUAGAGAUUAUAUAACA